ensembl:lncRNA
CAGGCAGCGUCGGGCUGCAGGCGGGCUAGUCAGGGGGGGCAUGUCUGCCGUUCCUACCUGGGUAUAUAAGCCUCUGGACUGUGGGGGGUUACUCUGAUCACACUGCCUCUCCAUUCCCUCUUUGAGUUGGUCCAAGUCCUUCUUUGGCGACGUCCACGUUUCAUUUUAAAGUCAAUGUUCGACUCUUCCAGAGCAUCGCCAGGUGACACUGUUUUGAUUUUAAAAAUAUUUUUGCUAACUUUUUUUGAUCUUCUCAAGCCUUUCCUGUGAAGUCUCCCUGUGACGGGAUCGACACAUUUGUUUUUUUCAUCUGUACUUUCAUCUGGAGGUUGAUACAGGCCCGCGCUGCGAUGACCUCUGGAUGCGCGUGCACUGUUGUGCUGUGGAAUAUUGUGGGUCAGUGUCGAGAAGGAGAAUGGAAGGAGAUGGUACACUUUCUGUCAAAGAAAAAAAUGUCAUCCCUCCCAAUCUACCGUUGAGGCAAAACGUAGCCUACUUUUUUCUUUCUUCCUUCCUUCCUUUCCUUUCUGUUCUCAUGCUACCGUUUAGACUCGGCUAUCUCACUCUCUGUCUCUUGCACUCACACCGUCAGUCUUUCUCGCUCUCCCUCCCUUCCUCCGCCACUCUUCUCGAUUUGUCCUUCAGCUCUGUCAGUGCACAGUCCAUAUUCUCUGAUCCUUCUAUAGCAGUUUGAUCAGGCUCCCUCAGUCAAACAUAGCAUGGCCAGGUAGGGAGGGACGGUUAGCCGUGAGAUGGCGCAUUUCAAUGCUAAAUCAUCAGUUUAUACAGUCUUCUAAUAAGAAGGGUUGAAGUCUUUUUUUUUUUUUCUUUUUUUUUUUUACCUGCCCUUUUUCCUUUUUGGUAUUUCUUCCUCCUCUUAUCCUCUUCCUCCCAUUCGGAGUGAGAGAGGCAGCAUCUCCCAUGACCCUCCUCUCCUCUCUGCAUCCCUAAACUCUCCAUCGCUGAUUCAGCUCCCAGGGAAGGGACGGACACUCUGCCUGCAGCAGCCGCAACGCAUGGGCCACCACCCCUCCGGAUCACCCCCCACCGCUUUAUUGUUUUACUCCUCUUUGGCGCAUUGGCCCAUCUGAAGACGGGGACACUACCUGACAGCUAUCCACUAGGUAAGCGCUAGAUCUACCUCUGUCUUUUUCCCCCUCUAUUUCUAUCCCUCUCUCCUUCUACCUCUCGCUCUCUCCGCUGCUGCAGUUACACCUCUAAGCGUGACACUCAAGGUGAAUAGCGUGCCGUUCUGGACAGCCUGUGUAAGAAACUAGCACAUGUAAUAGUCUACAGAGUAGGCAACAUUUACUCACGGCAAUGCAGGUUUUUCUUGAGAGAAUCAUGUUAAAACCACGGCACACAGGAGUAAUACAGAUGUUCAUGAUUGCACUACUUAUGUUAAAAAAGGAAUACAGCCAUAAGUUGCAUGUGAUAUUUUUGAUUAGUUAUUUGGUAAUGAUUUAUUGCGAGUUAUUUGGUAAUGAUUUAUUGCGAGUUAUUUGGUAAUGAUUUAUAUCAAUGGUUUAUCAUUGAGAAAUGCGGAGUAAAAUUUGAGGCGAAAUGUUAAUGGUUUGACCGGUUAAGCAACUGAGCCCAUAAUGGGACCACACUGUGUUGUGUGACUGACUUUUCAAUAUCUCCAGCACUGUUAAUGAAUGAAUUCAACAGAAACAAGUGCAUUUGUUCACGAACACCAUAGACUGUAAGAAAACGAAAGGUUGAAGUGGUGUAAAAGCUGAAGCCUCAUGAAUCAGUGACUUUCUGAUUUGAUAGUGGGGGGGGGGGG